AUAAUUGAAGGCAUUUAAAACCGCCUCCAAAUGCGGUAGGAUCACGUGCUGAUCCUUCUUUGUGAAACCCUUAUUUCGAAUCUGAGCCCUUUCUCUCUCUCAACCAUUAUAUACACACACAUCUCUUUCUCUGUCUCUCAGCGAUUAUUGAUAACUCUAGGAAGAAGCUUCGUCUCUCGAAAGAUCAAUCGGCUAUUCUUGAAGAGAGCUUCAAAGAACACAACACUCUCAAUCCUCUCCAUCUGCACCGACGAUUUCGAAGAUUCAGAGUGAUUUCGAAGCGAUUUCGAAGAUUCAGAUCAAUUUCGAGAUUCAGAGCGAUUUCAAAGCUCCAUCGCCACCACCAUCUGCACCGGCGAGAGAUUCAUAGAUGCAGUGAUUCAGAGUUUCAGUGAUUUCAGAGCGAUUUUGAUUUCAAAGCUCCACCCCCACCACCAUCUGCACCGGUGAUUUUGAUUUCACUAAGGUCUUGUGUAUUGUAUGGAUUACUUAGAGAAAAACAUUGACUGGUUGGAGUCCAAAUUAAAGCCUCUUCUCAAAGGUUGACGUUCACUUGUGAAGACCAUGUCUCAUCACCAAGUGGAUGAUGCUGAAUACAUGGCAGAUAAAUAUGAAAUGGAAGAUAUGGAUGAUGAUAUGGACGAAGAGUUUCGUGGAAGAGAGAUGGGUGGCUUAGACUCUGAUGUGGAUGAAUAUGACUACUUGUUCCCUUGUUCGGCUCGAAUUGCUCCCACAAUGUCAAUAUCAUAGGUUUAAUGCUGCAAGU